UGUAUUUUGAGCAAAGAUCAAGGGAGCUGGUCAGAAUCGUUGAAUGACUUUCUGCGUCUUACAUUAUAGAAUUAUUUUCUAAAAACAUCUAUAUUACUCCUUAGAAGAAUGAAUGCGCCACCGACCUUUGAGUCAUUCCUCUUGUAUGAGGGAGAGAAAAAAAUAAUAAAAGAGCAAGACACGAAGGUUCCAAAUGCUGCUAUAUUUACCAUCAAUAAAGAGGAUCACACCCUGGGGAACAUGAUCCGAAACCAACUCUUGAAAGAUCCCCAAGUGUUGUUUGCCGGAUACAAAGUACCACAUCCCUUGGAGCACAAGUUUGUCAUCAGGAUACAGACGACUUCAGAUUAUACACCACACGAUGCCUUUAUGCACGCCAUCACCGAUUUAAUCGCCGAGCUAUCACUCUUCGAAGAACGUUUCAAAGAAGCGAUAAAAGAAAAGAAAGAAGGAUUAGAUUAACCAGUAGUAUUAGAUUAAUGUCUUAUUUACAGAAUAACUAAAAUAUUGAGAGUCUGUGAAUGCAAGUGUAAAUUACAUCUUCAAAUGAUAUUCAUAUCAUGUGAAAAAUCCAAGUUACAGUUUCGAUGAAUCUUUAUUCAAAGUACUCAACAAUUCAACUUUGGAAGCGCUUAACGACGCACAUGAUUAAAAUAAUAAAUAUGGGGUAUCGGUUAAACCGUA